UACGUAGGAUGCAAGCGUUGUCCGGAAUUAUUGGGCGUAAAGAGCGCGCAGGCGGUAUGACAAGCCAGAUGUGAAAGAGGCCGGCUUAACCGGCAAGGGUCAUUUGAAACUGUCAGACUAGAGUGCAGCAGAGGAUAGUGGAAUUCCCGGUGUAGUGGUGAAAUGCGUAGAUAGUCGGGAGGAACACCAGUGGCGAAGGCGACUAUCUGGGCUGCAACUGACGCUGAGGCGCGAAGGCUAGGGUAGCAAACAGG
rnacentral:rRNA from 1 species